UAUCUUGUAGUUUAAUGGUAGAACAUCAUUCUUCUAAAAUGAUUAUUUGGGUUCGAUUCCCAACUAGAUAU